GGGAAACUCUUAUGGAGGAAUUUUAACGCCCUGAUAGCUGAGGGACAGAAACAUACUGAAGGAAGAGGCUGAGGGCUUCCCAGGACCCCACCAACAUAAAUUACCAAACUGCUUAUAGCUAAGACCCCAUUGCCUGGAAACCAACUGACCACCAUGGCCUCAGAACCUGGGCACUUUGACAGCUGGAUUCUUGACAUGCGUUGAUUUAAAGCUAGAAACCUACUACUUCAUCACCUUCAAUGUGUUUCUCAAUGUCUCCUUUCCUGACUGUGGAAGGCAGGUCAGUGAGCGGAGGGAAUUUUUGUCCAACGUGCACCUUGACAGAGCUUCACUGACCACGGGCUGUGUCUCCCUGCUGCCGCGCAGCGCACCUCUGACCACAGACCCCUCUCCGGAGCCGUGUGUUUGCUCCUCACCUGACAGGCUGUGUGAGAACCCAUCUGUGCUUCCCUGGGAUGUCUGA
rnacentral:lncRNA from 1 species